rnacentral:rRNA from 1 species
GACGAACGCUGGCGGCGUGCUUAACACAUGCAAGUCGAACGGAAAGGCCCUGCUUUUGUGGGGUGCUCGAGUGGCGAACGGGUGAGUAACACGUGAGUAACCUGCCCUUGACUUUGGGAUAACUUCAGGAAACUGGGGCUAAUACCGGAUAGGAGCUCCUGCUGCAUGGUGGGGGUUGGAGAGAUUCGGCGGUUGGGGAUGGACUCGCGGCUUAUCAGCUUGUUGGUGGGGCAGUGGCUUACCAAGGCUUUGACGGGUAGCCGGCAUGAGAGGGUGACCGGGCACAUUGGGACUGAGAUACGGACCAGAAGCCUACGGGAGGCAGCAGUGGGGAAUAUUGCACAAUGGGGGGAAGCCUGAUGCAGCAACGCCGCGUGCGGGAUGACGUCCUACUGGGUGUAAACCGAUGUCGCCUGUGACGAAGAGGGAGUGACGGUAAUGGGUAAAGAAGCACCGGCUAACUACGUG